rnacentral:rRNA from 1 species
UGGGGAAUUUUGGACAAUGGGGGAAACCCUGAUCCAGCCAUCCCGCGUGUGCGAUGAAGGCCUCCGGGUUGUAAAGCACUUUUGGCAGGAAAGAAACGUCAUGGGUUAAUACCCCGUGAAACUGACGGUACCUGCAGAAUAAGCACCGGCUAACUACGUGCCAGCAGCCGCGGUAAAACGUAGGGUGCAAGCGUUAAUCGGAAUUACUGGGCGUAAAGCGUGCGCAGGCGGUUCGGAAAGAAAGAUGUGAAAGCCCAGCGCUCAACUUUGGAACUGCAUUUUUAACUACCGGGCUAGAGUGUGUCAGAGGGAGGUGGAAUUCCGCGUGUAGCAGUGACAUGCGUAGAUAUGCGGAGGAACACCGAUGGCGAAGGCAGCCUCCUGGGAUAACUCUGACGCUCAUGCCCGAAAGCGUGGGGAGCAAACAGG